GUUCUUUGCAAACAACAAAGUUAAGUUACCGUGUUUACAUGAGCCUUAGUUAUACCUGUUUUAAUGACAGAGCUUAGUCGUAGGACUGUAAGAAGAAUUGUAAAUGGGGUAAGAUUGGAACUGAAAAUAUAAAUACUGCUUAUUUGGAUGCUUGUCGUCUUAACAUGGUUCUACGCAGUCAGAGCUGGACUGAUUGUGUCUGAAAGAUACUUAAAGAAGCAUUAUCCAAGCUAGUGCCCAUUCUUUUCAAGUGUAAGAAAAGGGGGAGCAUUACUUGACUAGUGUAUUUGAAACUCGUAACACUGCAAGGACAAAAGUCAUCUUUACUACAAGACAAAGUUCAGAAAGUUUCACAAUACUGCAGUGACAUAGGAUAAUGAAGUGAAGCAUAACUGACUCCUUAAAAAAGCUUUGGACAUUACUGCUGAAGUCAAAACACUUUAAAAUGAAACACUUCUAGCUGCAAAGAAAUCAGGAGGCAUGGUAGCAUCAAUGAUGACAGGAUCUGAUGCCAAUGAAAAGUGGAUCUUGUCUAAAUUCAUCACCCACAAUACUAGUAAAUAUGAAAUUGAUGAUGAACAGUAGGGAAGUCUGUGCUUAGUUAGCCAAGAGUUGUACCACGUUCCGUCUUGCAAACUGAUUUUGAGGUCAAACCUGAAACUCUUUCUGGAAAGGAGCUCUUAUAACAUUUUUACUUUACUUGCACAAGAUCUAUGUUUAUCAAGCAAUGAUACAUGAAAAUCCUGAAGCUGGGAAAGAAGAUUAUCAAGUAUUUUUUCAGUAUAUCUCUAACAAAGGAUAUAUUUUGACCUUUGAAGGUUUGGAACACAUUACUGAACAAAGGUUCGAACUUUUGAUAGUACUAAUUUGCAUAAUUUACUGAUGAUGUCACAAUAACUACUAGCUUAUGUUUUACAGAAAAAAAUAUUUUAAAGGUAAUACCAAAUUUACUUUAAAAAUACAUUAUAUAAAACAGUAAUGAUAUUGUAUAUUUAAAAAAAAAAUUUACAUUAUAUACACACAAUUGAUACUAUGUGUGAUACUCAUACAGCUAUAUACGGUAAGCUUGCAUUUCAAAAGCAUCCUAUUGCAGUGAAUUAAAAAAACUGCAACUGACUUAAGCAACACACAUAUUUAUUCAACAGUCAAUGUUCCAAGCAGGUUAGCAGUCAUAUUCUUUUUAACAUAAAAUUCUUGAUUAAUUGAAUAUUACAAUUAUAAUUGUUAGCAUAUAUUUUGUGUUUGAUACUUAUUCUAUCAUAACAUUUUUAUGUCAUGUUCACUAGUCAUUCAGUACAUUUUAUUGAAAAAACAAUGCAGCUGUUAAACAUACUCCCCUUUGCUUCACCAUAAUUUUCUGCUCUGAUGCAUGGAAAGAGCUGCUAUAUAUAUCAUUUUGGUGGUAUUUGUGUGUUUAUUUUUUAAUACAACAACUUUUGUUUAAGUACUGGACACUGUAAAAAUUUCUAUGUGAGUGACAUUUAAUGGGCAAUUACUGUUCAAGUAUUGUAAGGCAGUUGCUGUUAACAAGAAAAAAUAAUCUAACAUUGUUUGAAUACUACCUACUGAACUUUCAAAUGUUUAGACCUAUCUUCAAAUUCUUGGCUAGUGAAUGAACAUUUGAAUACAGCCCUAAAUGUUUGAAGAUUCUUCAUAUAUCGAGGGUUACUCAUAUGAAUGUUACGCAUUAUUAUGAUACCUCAUAUAAGGAAAGGUUAAGGAACCUAUGGCAAUUUCAAUAUGUACAGAUGGAAUACUCUUCGAAAUAGCUGCUUGAAAAUUAUUUUUUGUAUUCUAAUUUACUGUUUUAUUUUUACCUGUAUGUAUAUAGAAUGAUUAUAAGAAAUUCUUAGAAUAGGUGAUAUGAAUUCCAUUUUUCUUAGUAGUGUGUAGUUAAUGCAGCUUUGUAAAUGAUAUAUAUUCUUCAUAUCAGUUGGGUUUCAAAACAUGCAUUUUCCAUUAUUUUUAAGCAAUAACUUAAAAUAUCGUUAGAGUUUGUAAGAAGUUUAAAAGGAUAUUUCAGACUGGAUUUUUAACAAAAAGUAAUUUAAAAAACAAACAAACAUGAAUUUACCUAUGAAAACUUUGAAUUACAAGUGCAGUUUCUUCCAAAUAAAUAUUAUGUUAGAGACUAAGCCAGCACUCUCUUACAUGUUCUAUUCUCUAGUAA